rnacentral:rRNA from 1 species
GACGAAGGGGGCUAGCGUUGUUCGGAAUUACUGGGCGUAAAGAGUGUGUAGGCGGUGCUCUAAGUUCGGUGUGAAAUCUCCCGGCUUAACUGGGAGGGUGCGCCGAAUACUGAAUGACUUGGAGUGCGGGAGAGGAGGGUGGAAUUCCUGGUGUAGCGGUGAAAUGCGUAGAUAUCAGGAGGAACACCGGUGGUGGUAGACGGCUCUCUGGACCGUAA